rnacentral:rRNA from 1 species
CCUACGGGAGGCUGCAGUGAGGAAUAUUGGUCAAUGGAGGCAACUCUGAACCAGCCACGUCGCGUGAAGGAAGACGGCCCUACGGGUUGUAAACUUCUUUUGUAAGGGAAUAAAGUGUAGUACGUGUACUAUUUUGCAUGUACCUUACGAAUAAGGAUCGGCUAACUCCGUGCCAGCAGCCGCGGUAAUACGGAGGAUCCGAGCGUUAUCCGGAUUUAUUGGGUUUAAAGGGUGCGCAGGCGGGAGAUUAAGUCGGUGGUGAAAUUUUGCAGCUUAACUGUAACAGUGCCAUUGAUACUGGUUUUCUUGAGUGUGGAUGAAGUAGGCGGAAUUUGUGGUGUAGCGGUGAAAUGCAUAGAUAUCACGAGGAACUCCGAUCGCGUAGGCAGCUUACUAAACCAUAACUGACGCUCAUGCACGAAGGCGUGGGGAUCAAACAGGAUUAGAUACCCGGGUAGUC